CCAGGUCUUGACAUCCCUUGCUAAUCCUAGAAAUAGGACGUUCCUUCGGGGACAAGGUGACAGGUGGUGCAUGGUUGUCGUCAGCUCGUGUCGUGAGAUGUUGGGUUAAGUCCCGCAACGAGCGCAACCCUUAUUAUUAGUUGCCAGCAUUCAGUUGGGCACUCUAGUGAGACUGCCGGUGACAAACCGGAGGAAGGUGGGGAUGACGUCAAAUCAUCAUGCCCCUUAUGACCUGGGCUACACACGUGCUACAAUGGCAUAUACAACGAGUCGCCAACCCGCGAGGGUGCGCUAAUCUCUUAAAGUAUGUCUCAGUUCGGAUUGUAGGCUGCAACUCGCCUACAUGAAGUCGGAAUCGCUAGUAAUCGCGGAUCAGCACGCCGCGGUGAAUACGUUCCCGGGUCUUGUACACACCGCCCGUCACACCAUGAGAGUUUGUAACACCCAAAGCCGGUGGGGUAACCUUUUAGGAGCCAGCCGUCUAAGGUGGGACAGAUGAUUAGGGUGAAGUCGUAACAAGGUAAGCGUAGACGU
rnacentral:rRNA from 1 species